UGAUCCAGAUUUGAUGUUCAA
ensembl:piRNA 21ur-4689 ncRNA